rnacentral:rRNA from 1 species
UGGGGAAUAUUGGACAAUGGGCGAAAGCCUGAUCCAGCCAUGCCGCGUGUGUGAAGAAGGUCUUCGGAUUGUAAAGCACUUUAAGUUGGGAGGAAGGGCAGUAAGUUAAUACCUUGCUGUUUUGACGUUACCGACAGAAUAAGCACCGGCUAACUCUGUGCCAGCAGCCGCGGUAAUACAGAGGGUGCAAGCGUUAAUCGGAAUUACUGGUCGUAAAGCGCGCGUAGGUGGUUUGUUAAGUUGGAUGUGAAAGCCCCGGGCUCAACCUGGGAACUGCAUCCAAAACUGGCAAGCUAGAGUACGGUAGAGGGUGGUGGAAUUUCCUGUGUAGCGGUGAAAUGCGUAGAUAUAGGAAGGAACACCAGUGGCGAAGGCGACCACCUGGACUGAUACUGACACUGAGGUGCGAAAGCGUGGGGAGCAAACA